ACAGGAUGUAAGAGUGAGAGAAGUAUUUUAUGGUUUAUGAAACUAAAAGAGCAUCAUAUGUCUUUAGAUUAACAACUUUUUGAAGUGUAAUACACAGACAGGAAAGUGAACAAAUUGGAAGCAUAUGCCUCGAUCUCACACAUCUGUGUAUCCAGCAUCCAAUCAAGAAACUGAGUACGACUAGCUCCUUGAAGUCCCUCUGUGUUUUCUUCUAGCUAGUAUUGGCUGGUGUAUAAUUUAGUGAUAUUAAAUACAUUCACAUUAUUGUGAAGCAUUUCGACCAUCCAUCUCCAGAACUUCUUCAUCUUUUCAAACUGAAAAUCUGUGCAUAUGAAGCUAGAACUCCCUAUUCCACCUUGCCUCCAGCCCCUGGAAACCACCAACCAUUCUACUUCCUGCCUCUAUGAUUAAACUAUUUCUAAGUACCCCAUGUGCAGAGUCAACAGGAUUUGUAUGAAUUCCAAGAAGGUUAAAAACAGUCAAAUGUAAAAGCUAUGAUUUCUGUUUUGCUCUCUUCUGAACAGGUGAAGAAAUAGGUCCUGACACUCAAUAGAUUCUAUACAAUGAAAAGUUAUCAAUAUGAAACAACAAAGUACUCUCUUAACUAUGGCAGUUUUUAAAAAUAUUUUAUUUACCUAUUUUAAAGAGAUGGGAAGGUAGGGAGAAAGAGAGGGAGAGAAACAUCAAGGUCCGCAACGCAGGUAUGUGCUCUAAC